CGCAGCAAUAACAAUAUCAAAUUAAAGUAACACAAUAAUGUAUUAAAAUGAAACCAUUCAUUCAGUCAUAACAAUAAUUGUCAUAAAUUAUCCAAAAUUUAAAAUACUAGGGUAGUGACAAAAACAUAAACCAAAAUCAAGCAUCAGCUUUCUGAUAAACAUAGGUCAAACCACACUUCCCACAAUAAUGACGAUCAAAGUGAUUCGCCAUGAACGUUCCAGCACCACACUCUGCAUUAGGACACUCCUUCCUCAGCCUCUGCACCUUCCCAGAAUCAUCAACCUUAUAAAACUGCAACACCGCAAGUUUCACCUUCCUAUGCUUAUGCUUAAUCUUCUUUGGCUUAGUGUAGGUCUUCUUCUUCCUCUUCUUCGCGCCACCACGGAGACGGAGAACAAGGUGAAGAGUGGAUUCCUUCUGGAUGUUGUAGUCGGCGAGAGUGCGGCCGUCUUCCAGCUGUUUUCCGGCGAAGAUGAGACGUUGUUGGUCCGGUGGGAUUCCUUCUUUGUCUUGGAUCUUGGCUUUCACAUUGUCGAUGGUGUCUGAAGAUUCAACUUCGAGGGUUAUUGUCUUCCCGGUUAGGGUUUUCACGAAGAUCUGCAUCUUCGCGGAUUAGGGUUUGCGCCGGUGGAGA
rnacentral:lncRNA from 1 species